UGAACAUGAAAAAUCAGUCUGAGAGUCCCCAUCUGCCUGGUGAUCACCUGUUUGAAGUGGCUGUUGAGGUGACUUUCAGUCACAAUGUGGAGGAAUCCUGGGACAACCUGGCUCGGCUGCUGCUGCUGUCAGUCAAGACUUUGAUCAGCAAACAGCUGGAAGCUCUUCAAACAAAACCGUCCCUCUCAUCAAAAAGAAUAAAAAGG